GGGCGCAACUGAUGCAGCGACGCCGCGUGGGUGACGAAGGUCUUCGGAUCGUAAAGCCCUUUUCUGCGUGACGAGCAAGGACGGUAGCGCAGGAAUAAGUCUCGGCUAACUACGUGCCAGCAGCCGCGGUAAAACGUAGGAGACAAACGUUAUCCGGAGUUACUGGGCGUAAAGGGCGUGCAGGCGGUUGGUUAAGUCUGGCGUGAAAGCUCUUGGCUAAACCGGGAGAGGUCGUUGGAGACUGGCUGACUAGAGGACGGUAGAGGCGUGUGGAAUUCCGGGUGUAGUGGUGAAAUGCGUAGAGAUCCGGAGGAACACCAGUGGCGAAGGCGACACGCUGGGCCGUACCUGACGCUAAGACGCGACAGCAUGGGGAGCGAACGGGAUUAGAAACCCCGGUAGUCCAUGCCGUAAACGAUGCCAGCUAGGUGUUCAGGGGGCGCAAGCCGCCGGGGUACCGCAGCUAACGCGUUAAGCUGGCCGCCUGGGGAGUACGGUCGCAAGGCUA
rnacentral:rRNA from 1 species